UACAGAGGGGGCAAGCGUUGUUCGGAAUUACUGGGCGUAAAGGGCGCGUAGGCGGCCCGCUAAGUCGAACGUGAAAUCCCCGAGCUCAACUCGGGAACUGCGUCCGAUACUGGCGGGCUUGAAUCCGGGAGAGGGAUGCGGAAUUCCAGGUGUAGCGGUGAAAUGCGUAGAGAUGCGGCGGAACACCGAUGGCGAAGGCAGCCCCCUGGGCUGAGAUUGACGCUCAGGCACGAAAGCGUGGGGAGCAAACAGG
rnacentral:rRNA from 1 species